rnacentral:rRNA from 1 species
GACGAACGCUGGCGGCGUGCUUAACACAUGCAAGUCGAACGGAAAGGCCCUGCUUUUGUGGGGUGCUCGAGUGGCGAACGGGUGAGUAACACGUGAGUAACCUGCCCUUGACUUUGGGAUAACUUCAGGAAACUGGGGCUAAUACCGGAUAGGAGCUCCUGCUGCAUGGUGGGGGUUGGAAAGUUUCGGCGGUUGGGGAUGGACUCGCGGCUUAUCAGCUGGUUGGUGGGGUAGUGGCUUACCAGGGCUUUGACGGGUAGCCGGCCUGAGAGGGUGGACGGCCACAUUGGGACUGAGAGACGGCGCAGACUCCUACGGGAGGCAGCAGUGGGGAAUAUUGCACAAUGGGCGGAAGCCUGAUGCAGCAACGCCGCGUGCGGGAUGACGGCCUUCGGGUUGUAAACAGCUUUCGCCUGUGACGAAGCGUGAGUGACGGUAAUGGGUAAAGAAGCACCGGCUAACUACGUG